ACUGGGACUGAGACACGGCCCAGACUCCUACGGGAGGCAGCAGUGGGGAAUAUUGCACAAUGGGCGAAAGCCUGAUGCAGCGACGCCGCGUGAGGGAUGACGGCCUUCGGGUUGUAAACCUCUUUCAGCAGGGAAGAAGCGAAAGUGACGGUACCUGCAGAAGAAGCACCGGCUAACUACGUGCCAGCAGCCGCGGUAAUACGUAGGGUGCGAGCGUUGUCCGGAAUUAUUGGGCGUAAAGAGCUUGUAGGCGGUUUGUCGCGUCUGCAGUGAAAAUCCGGGGCUCAACCCCGGACUUGCUGUGGGUACGGGCAGACUAGAGUGUGGUAGGGGAGACCGGAAUUCCUGGUGUAGCGGUGGAAUGCGCAGGUAUCAGGAGGAACACCGAUGGCGAAGGCAGGUCUCUGGGCCACAACUGACGCUGAGAAGCGAAAGCAUGGGGAGCGAACAGGAUUAGAUACCCUGGUAGUCCAUGCCGUAAACGUUGGGCGCUAGGUGUGGGGCUCAUUCCACGAGCUCCGUGCCGCAGCUAACGCAUUAAGCGCCCCGCCUGGGGAGUACGGCCGCAAGGCUAAAACUCAAAGGAAUUGACGGGGGCCCGCACAAGCGGCGGAGCAUGCGGAUUAAUUCGAUGCAACGCGAAGAACCUUACCAAGGCUUGACAUAUACCGGAAACACUCAGAGAUGGGUGCCCCGCAAGGUCGGUAUACAGGUGGUGCAUGGUUGUCGUCAGCUCGUGUCGUGAGAUGUUGGGUUAAGUCCCGCAACGAGCGCAACCCUCGUUCUAUGUUGCCAGCGCGUUAUGGCGGGGACUCAUAGGAGACUGCCGGGGUCAACUCGGAGGAAGGUGGGGAUGACGUCAAAUCAUCAUGCCCCUUAUGUCUUGGGCUUCACGCAUGCUACAAUGGCCGGUACAAAGGGCUGCGAUACCGCGAGGUGGAGCGAAUCCCAAAAAACCGGUCUCAGUUCGGAUUGGGGUCUGCAACUCGACCCCAUGAAGUCGGAGUCGCUAGUAAUCGCAGAUCAGCAACGCUGCGGUGAAUACGUUCCCGGGCCUUGUACACACCGCCCGUCAAGUCACGAAAGUCGGUAACACCCGAAGCCGGUGGCCCAACCCUCGUGGAGGGAGCCGUCGAAGGUGGGACUGGCGAUUGGGACUAAGUCGUAACAAGGUAGCCGUACCGGAGGUGCGGCUG
rnacentral:rRNA from 1 species